UCUCCCAACUCCUCCUACUUCUCCCUCUGCUGGAAUAAUGACUUUGGUUGGGAUGAAUUUAAUCAUGCCAGCCCCACUUAGCAUCUUUGGCUGACUCGCAGCUGCCCAAGGUUGCCCCCCGGGUUCUGACCCUGGCCUUUGCCCACGUUUCCUGCCCUGAUCCCGUCUCUCUCUCUCUGGGCUCACCCUCCCAGCCCUCAUUGCUUCCCCAGUACUGGUUCCUGCAAACUGCUUUCUCGAUGCUCCAGUUCUUCCUUUUUCUUCCUCUCUGCCUGGUGAACCUCUCGCAUCUUUCGAGUACUGAAUUCUCACAGGAAGUCUCAGACGAAGACACUGCCAACUCCACUUUCAGAGAGAAACGCUGAUGCUCAGAGCUAAACUAACUCGCCUCAGAGCCCACAUCCUGGACUUGAGCUUCAGGGUGUCACACACCAAAGACUGUCCUCUUCACCCCAGCUUCCUGGGCAUUGGAGCGGAUCCAACUUGUCAGAUGUGCAGUGAGAACAGCCCCCAUUUCCAAGCCACUUCCUGACCUGAUGGCAGCACCCUGCUAGUCCUCACAUGGAGCCCUGGAGAAGUGGGGUUCCUUAAUCCAGAUUCGAAUCAAUAGCCUCACACCUGGUAUGCACAUCCAGGCCAAGUGUGGCUGAAUGGGGAGCGUCUGUUCUGGAGACGACCACCCUCAUGGGCUCCUCUGUUUCCUGUCCCUUCGGGCACUGAUUUAUGGCACACAGCAGGGAAUGGCCUGAGCUUGAGCCUUGACAGUCGUCAUCAUCACCAUCCUCAUUUGAGGGCCGUGAAGAACAUUCUGAAAGUAGAGAUGAAGGUCUUCUUUCUGAGUGAAGCUCCUUGCAUGAUUCAGGGGUCUUACUCUUGAAGGCACCAAUCGUUUUGACUUUAAUGCAUGCACUCUGACUUAUCUGCGGUGAUCUCUUCUGGCAAUACAUGGAAAAAUGAAAAAUAGGCUAACUGGGAAGAUUUCUUAAAUGCCAGUUUGUAUGGCUGUGUUAACCUGAAUGAUUAAAUAUAGAAUUGUUUUUUAAGUUA